GAUAGAAACAUUUAAAUACAUAAAGGGAAUCAACACAGUAAAGGAGUAGACUAUAUUUAAAAGAAGAAAAACUACCACAACAAGAGGACAUAGUCUUAAAUUAGAGGGGCAAAGGUUUAAAAAUAAUAUCAGGAAGUAUUACUUUACUGAGAGGGUAGUGGAUGCAUGGAAAAGCCUUCCAGCUGAAGUGGUAGAGGGUAACACAGUAAAGG